rnacentral:rRNA from 1 species
UACGUAGGGGGCAAGCGUUGUCCGGAAUUAUUGGGCGUAAAGAGCGUGUAGGCGGUCCGGUAAGUCAGCUGUGAAAGUCAAGGGCUCAACCCUUGAAUGCCGGUUGAUACUGUCGGGCUAGAGUCCGGAAGAGGCGAGUGGAAUUCCCGGUGUAGCGGUGAAAUGCGCAGAUAUCAAGAGGAACACCUGAGGUGAAGACGGGUUGCUGGGCUGACACUGACGCUGAGGCGCGAAAGCUAGGGUAGCAAACGGG